rnacentral:rRNA from 1 species
CCUAGGGGUGGCUGCAGUGGGGAAUAUUGGACAAUGGGCGAAAGCCUGAUCCAGCCAUGCCGCGUGUGUGAAGAAGGCCUUCGGGUUGUAAAGCACUUUCAGUGGGGAAGAAAGCCUUGGGGCUAAUACCCUCGAGGAAGGACAUCACCCACAGAAGAAGCACCGGCUAACUCCGUGCCAGCAGCCGCGGUAAUACGGAGGGUGCGAGCGUUAAUCGGAAUUACUGGGCGUAAAGCGCGCGUAGGCGGUCUGAUAAGCCGGUUGGGAAAGCCCCGGGCUCAACCUGGGAACGGCAUCCGGAACUGUCAGGCUAGAGUGCAGGAGAGGAAGGUAGAAUUCCCGGUGUAGCGGUGAAAUGCGUAGAGAUCGGGAGGAAUACCAGUGGCGAAGGCGGCCUUCUGGACUGACACUGACGCUGAGGUGCGAAAGCGUGGGUAGCAAACAGGAUUAGAUACCCUUGUAGUC